rnacentral:pre_miRNA from 1 species
ACAAGACACUUGGUUUGAAGGGGAAACUAUCUAAGACUCAUUUUUUAACUUUACUCCUACUUAAAGAUGCAUUACCCCACAU